CUCUUGAAGUGCAAAGACAUCGCCGUUGUGCGAUGCCUUUGCACUUCUGCGGGGGGGCCGGCACUGACAUGCGGGGCGUACUAGCUCUGUGCUGGCCGUCCCCCCGCAUGUCGGUGUGAAUGAUCGUAGCUGUGCUAAAUUUAGCACAGCUGCGGUCAUUUCGGAAUGACCCCCUACGUGCACUGGGAGGGACUUUGUUAGCAGUGUUGGACUGUUGACUGCUGGGGUGGGGGCGUGGAGGGUCACUGUUCGUCCAGCUCAGGGGAUCCUGCCAGUGGUGGUUUUAGGUGCGGGCUAUCAGGGCGGGCACCCGAGACGCUGCAGCCUGAGGCCGCAGUCAUUCCGCCAGAGCCAUCAGCACCCAUCUGCUGCCUGCACCAAAAUGCCGCUCGUCACUUCCUGCUCCGGCCGGCCGCCUACCAUCCUGGCCACUUCACGCUGGCCGUACCCCACCGUGGAAGUAUAACAAGAACAUAGAGCUGGAGGACCACAGGUGCCAAAUGGUUCCCUCAGAAACACCGGUGUACGAGGAGAGCGCGGAGCCGCAGCAGCGGCGACCACAUGAUAAGAAGCCUUAACCAGAAGCCACCAGGAAACAGCAGCAGCUGUAGGAGACGCGAGGAGAACAGAAGCAGGUGGACGCUGAGACACACAGAGCUUAGGAACAGGCAUGCAGAUGAAGAGCUCAGAGUGGAAGCAAUGCAAGUCUAAUGCUCAGGUGUGGAGAACCGGGGGUAUGGAGGCAUCCCAGUGGAAAGUAAAGGGAUCGGUGACUGACCAGUUCCAUCCAGAAGAUUGGGACCAUCCACUAUCUGGCUCCUUCACCAAGCAACUCGUAUUGAGAAGUGAGGUUCCAGAGGCAGCAGCAGCCGAUUAUACCGUGUUUGUGAUGUCACAGUGUACUGGCUGAGUGACAUCAUCACCAGCCAUCAGCACCAGCCUGGAGAAAUGUCCAGCUUGUUUAUUUCAUCAGUCCAUACAGCUUUUCAGUGUCAUCUCUCCCUUCCAGAGACCGUGCCAGGGUUCUCCUCUUUCCGCCUCCUGUGUUCUCAUGAGAUCCCAUGUGGUGGAUCUUGCCAUUCGGUGCACACUUGGAUGCUCAGUAGUGACUAGGGGGACCUUGUUCUUUACAGCAGCCUCUGCUUGUGGUUUCCGCAACUUGGCUGGGGCUAUGUACUGUAUGCAUCAAGGAUGUCUAUUAGGAGAAGUAAAAUGCUAAUUUCUAGUUAAACUUAAUAUUUCAAUAUGAUGAUACACAUCAUUGCAGCAAUAAAGUAACAUCUCUGCAA